GAGAAUGGAAAUAGAAAUGGAUAGAGAGAAAGAAAGCCCAAUAAAAUGAAAAGGUUGAGCCCAAAUUGGAAAUGAGAAAAAGGGGUGGAGGUGGUGGUGGUGGCUGGGCAACGGAAAGAAAGAGAUAUUUGGUAUCUAAGGAUGGGUGGUGCACUGUGGGGGACGCGGGUGAUGGAGAUCGUGAAGAAGCCAAUGCUGAGAAGCGCCUCCUCCGCCGCGUUUGGCAGGAUCAUUCAAUUACUCACUCCUUUUUUCCUUCAAAUCCUAUUUGUAACCCUCAAAUAUCCUACUCCAUCUUUACUUUUACAGAUUGCUUUCUAAUAUAUUCUAUGCUUGAAUUCUAUCUCUUAUCAAUCUAGCUAUGCCGUGCCUGCCAUACUCUUGUUA